AGGACGAACGCUGGCGGCGUGCUUAACACAUGCAAGUCGAACGGUGAAGCCUUUCGGGGUGGAUCAGUGGCGAACGGGUGAGUAACACGUGAGCAACCUGCCCUUGACUCUGGGAUAACUUCGGAAAACCGGAGCUAAUACCGAAUAUGACACGCGGAGGCAUCUCCUGUGUGUGGAAAGAUUCAUUGGUCAAGGAUGGGCUCGCGGCCUAUCAGCUAGUUGGUGGGGUAAUGGCCUACCAAGGCGACGACGGGUA
rnacentral:rRNA from 1 species